UUAAAUGAACCAACAGUCAAAAGGAAAACACGAAAAGGAAACCCUCGGCCAUGGGAUUCUGAUCGGUGGCUGCUCAAACAAAACAUUAACAAUACUGAGUAGAGAGCAAUCAAAACAAGAAAUGGGGUAUUCAAAUAGCAAAUCCCCACUGUCCUUCGAAGAGAAUCAACAAUUCUAUGGUGGGUCAUGAAGGCGACAGUCUUUUGCAGUUGUCGCUACGCCAAAGUUUCUUCGACCUAGAAGCCAUUCUUAUCUUGACUUAAACCUUCUUGCGCCAUUGCAUGCGUUGUUUUGUUACUAGAUUAGCCAAUGAAGUGGAAGGCGCAAGCAUGAAACUCCUUCACUAUCUCCUUUACGGACUAGGUAAGGGCACUUAUAUCCAAGAAAUCCUGUUCAUGGUUGUUAAUCUUCCUGAUAAUAGAACUUGAAUCUCCUUUGACUAUUAUUAACAGAAAACCCAAAACUUUAGCAAAUUAGAGCCCGUGUAUCACUGCAACUGCUUCUACUGCAAAGACCGAAAGAACAUGGUAAGUGAUUUUGCACCAAGCCCCUAUAAUCUCCCCAUUUUCAUCUCGAAUCACAACCCCUGUUGCAUCCUUCUUUUGAUUUAAUUUAAAACCAGCAUCAACGUUUAUUUUGACCAACCCUGCAGGUGGCGGAGACCACCGAGCUUGAAUAUUGGAGGCUACACAUUAUCCGUAGGGAUCACAAAGACCAACUCUACACAAUAGCUACAGAUGAAUCUAACAAUCUCAUCCACAGUUUGGUUUGUUCUCUCGUGCACCAUAUAAUUCCGGGUAAACCAUAUAGCCCACAUUGUAACACAAUUUCAUUAUGUUUUAUUGUAUGAUGCAUCUACAGUAUCCAUGAAAGCCACUCAUGGAAAUCCAUUUGAGCACUAACCAUAUGCAGUGGGUAACCCAACAUCAUCUAUACAUCUUUCGCACUAGCAUAAAAUCUUAGCACAUGGUUCAUUGUCUUGUGAUCAACAUUACACCUCGAACAAAUUGGAUUAUUUGCAACUCUUCUGUUGUAUAGGCAUGAUUUAAU
rnacentral:lncRNA from 1 species